rnacentral:rRNA from 1 species
CGAAAGAAAGAUUAAUACCCGAUGGGAUAAUCAUUCCGCAUGGUUUGAUUAUUAAAGGAUUCCGGUAAAGGAUGGGGAUGCGUUCCAUUAGGUUGUUGGUGAGGUAACGGCUCACCAAGCCUUCGAUGGAUAGGGGUUCUGAGAGGAAGGUCCCCCACAUUGGAACUGAGACACGGUCCAAACUCCUACGGGAGGCAGCAGUGAGGAAUAUUGGUCAAUGGGC